rnacentral:rRNA from 1 species
GUAGGGAAUAUUGGGCAAUGGAGGCAACUCUGACCCAGCCAUGCCGCGUGCAGGAUGACGGCCCUCUGGGUUGUAAACUGCUUUUAUACGGGAAGAAAAAAUACUACGUGUAGUAUACUGACGGUACCGUAAGAAUAAGGAUCGGCUAACUCCGUGCCAGCAGCCGCGGUAAUACGGAGGAUCCAAGCGUUGUCCGGAUUUAUGGGGUUCAAAGGGUGCGUAGGCGGAUCUUUAAGUCAGUGGUGAAAGCCUGCAGCUUAACUGUAGAGUUGACAGUGAAACUGAAGAUCUUGAAUGUGGUUAAAGUAGGCGGAAUGUAUCAUGUAGCGGUGAAAUGCUUAGAUAUGAUACAGAACACCGAUAGCGAAGGCAGCUUGCUGAACCAUUAUUGACGCUGAGGCACGAAAGCGUGGGGAGCGAACAGGAUUAGAAACCCGAGUAGUCC